rnacentral:rRNA from 1 species
UACGGAGGGUGCAAGCGUUAUCCGGAUUUACUGGGCUUAAAGGGCUCGUAGGCGGCCAACUAAGUCGGAUGUGAAAUCCCCAGGCUCAACUUGGGAACUGCAUCCGAUACUGGAUGGCUUGAAUUCGGGAGAGGGAUGCAGAAUUCCAGGUGUAGCGGUGAAAUGCGUAGAUAUCUGGAGGAAUACCGGUGGCGAAGGCGGCAUCCUGGACCGACAUUGACGCUGAGGAGCGAAAGCUAGGGGAGCAAACGGG